rnacentral:tRNA from 1 species
GGGCGAGUAGUCUAGAAAGGGAUUAUGCCAGCCUCUAGAUUGGCAUGAUGCCUGCCUUGGGAGCAGGUGGUCGUGGGUUCAAAUCCCACCUCGCCCACCA